GACGAACGCUGGCGGCGUGCUUAACACAUGCACGUCGAACGGAGUGGCGAACGGGCGAGUAACACGUGGGUGACCUGCCCUGCACUUCGGGAUAAGCCUGGGAAACUGGGUCUAAUUCCGGAUAGUGUGGGAGGGGUCCGCGGCCUAUCAGCUUGUUGGUGGGGUUAUGGCCUACCAAGGCGGCGACGAGUAGCCGGCCUGAGAGGGUGCACGGCCACAUUGGGGCUGGGACGCGGCCCAGACUCCUACGGGAGGCAGCAGUGGGGAAUAUUGCACGAUGAGAGGAAGGCUGAUGCAGGGACGCUGCGUGGGGGAUGACGGCCUUCGGGUUGUAAACUCCUUUCACGAUCGACGCGGUAGAUGGAGAGAAAGCGCCGGCUAACUACGUGCGAGCAGCCGCGGUAAGUC
rnacentral:rRNA from 1 species